GACGAACGCUGGCGGCGUGCUUAACACAUGCAAGUCGAACGGUGAAACGCCUUCCUUUUUGGUGGGUGUGGAUGAGUGGCGAACGGGUGAGUAACACGUGAGUAACCUGCCCCCUUCUUCUGGAUAACCGCAUGAAAGUGUGGCUAAUACGGGAUAUUCUGGGUCUGUCGCAUGAUGGGUCUGGGAAAGAUAUUGUUUCGGUGGGGGAUGGGCUCGCGGCCUAUCAGCUUGUUGGUGGGGUGAUGGCCUACCAAGGCGGUGACGGGUAGCCGGCCUGAGAGGGUGGACGGUCACACUGGGACUGAGACACGGCCCAGACUCCUACGGGAGGCAGCAGUGGGGAAUAUUGCACAAUGGGCGCAAGCCUGAUGCAGCGACGCCGCGUGAGGGAUGGAGGCCUUCGGGUUGUGAACCUCUUUCGCCAGUGAAGCAGGCCUGCCUCGUUUGUGGGUGGGUUGACGGUAGCUGGAGAAGAAGCGCCGGCUAACUACGUG
rnacentral:rRNA from 1 species